rnacentral:rRNA from 1 species
AUACGGAGGGUGCAAACGUUGUUCGGAAUCACUGGGCGUAAAGGGCGCGCAGGCGGUUUGAUUAGUCAGAUGUGAAAGCCCACGGCUUAACCGUGGAAGUGCAUUUGAAACUGUCAGACUUGAGUACUAGAGGGGAAAGUGGAAUUCCCGGUGUAGAGGUGAAAUUCGUAGAUAUCGGGAGGAAUACCGGUGGCGAAGGCGACUUUCUGGCUAGAUACUGACGCUGAGGCGCGAAAGCGUGGGGAGCAAACAGGAUUAGAAACCCUGGUAGUCC